rnacentral:rRNA from 1 species
AUGCUCGCGGCCCUCAGCGCGGCGCAGUGGGUGGUGGGCAAGGCGCUGGCCCCUGUGGCCGACGGCUUGCUGGAGGCUUGGGAUGCCAGCAAGCGCUUGGGUCUCAACAUCGAGGCCCUGAGGAUGGAGCUGCUGCUCGUGCAGGCCACGCUCGAGACCGCCAGCCGCAAGCAGAUCGACGGCCGGGCCAUGGAGGAUCUGCUGGGGAAGCUGGGGCGCUCGGCGCACUCCGCCGAGGACUUGCUGGACGAGCUGGACUACUUCCGCAUCCACGACGAGCUCCACGACGCGUACGACGCUGCAGACCAGCAUGCCAAGGGAUGCUUCCAUGACCUUGCCCUCAACGCUCGUCACACUGCCUGUUGA